rnacentral:rRNA from 1 species
AACGAACGCUGGCGGCGCGCCUAAUACAUGCAAGUCGAGCGAGAAGACGUAGCAAUACGUUUGUAAAGCGGCGAACGGGUGAGGAAUACAUGGGUAACCUACCCUCGAGUGGGGAAUAACUAGCCGAAAGGUUAGCUAAUACCGCGUACGCUCCUUGGACUUCGGUUCAGGGAGGAAAGCGAUACCGUGGGUAUCGCGCUCUUGGAUGGGCUCAUGUCCUAUCAGCUUGUUGGUGAGGUAACGGCUCACCAAGGCUUCGACGGGUAGCUGGUCUGAGAGGACGAUCAGCCACACUGGCACUGCGACACGGGCCAGACUCCUACGGGAGGCAGCAGUAAGGAAUAUUGCGCAAUGGGCGAAAGCCUGACGCAGCGACCGCGCGUGGGGGAUGAAGGUCUUCGGAUUGUAAACCCCUUUCGGGUA